rnacentral:lncRNA from 1 species
CUGUCUCUCUCGAUGUUGACUCUAAGUUGUCACCAGGAACAAAUGUUCUAGUGACAUCUCAUGUCAGAGAGAGUAAAGACACGGGUGUGUUAUACGUUUUCCUACGCCUCUUUUUCUUAUUUUUCCGACACACCUAAGGAUCCUGCAUGAUGAGGCAGAGCUUCGUGUCCGUGAGAGGUAUUGGGGCCUCGUACUGGUUCCACUGCUUUGGUUGGCUCAGACUUUAGUGUGGGAAGUAGCCAUGACAUGAAAAGCC